rnacentral:tRNA from 1 species
GCCGCGUUAGCUCAGCUGGUAGAGCACCUGAUUUGUAAUCAGGGGGUCAGGGGUUCGAGUCCCUUACGCGGCA